GCUAAUGUAGCACAGGGGUAGUGCAGCUGAUUCGUAAUCAGCAGGUCGGGGGUCCGAAUCCCCCCAUUAGCUCCA
rnacentral:tRNA from 1 species